rnacentral:tRNA from 1 species
AAAGGGAGACCUAAUUCGGGUAUAAGACGAAAAAAUAGUAGUCGAAACCAAGAAUCAAUCCCAAAAGGUCGGAACGAGGUAUGUGACUUUCAAACUAGGUUCUGGGUUCAUAAAAGACCUGAAUCAGGAACAAGGGCUAUUAGCUCAGGUGGUUAGAGCGCACCCCUGAUAAGGGUGAGGUCCCUGGUUCGAGUCCAGGAUGGCCCACCUGCACAGGUGGCAAAAACAAAGAAAAGAAGCUCCGAAUCAGCACCUUAUCUUACUUAUAUAGUAAGAGAGAAUGCUGGCUCUGAGUUCAGAGUCCAGAGGAACCUUGAAAACUGCAUAGAGCUAGGUGAAAAAGCCAAAAAAGAAGACCGCAAG